ACUCCUACGGGAGGCAGCAGUGGGGAAUAUCGCAGCAAAUGGGAACCCUGAUGCAGCCAUGCCGCGUGUGUGAAGAAGGCCUUCGGGUUGUAAAGCACUUUCAGUAGGGAGGAAGGUAGUGUAGUUAACACCUGCACUAUUUGACGUUACCUACAGAAGAAGCACCGGCUAACUCCGUGCCAGCAGCCGCGGUAAUACGGAGGGUGCGAGCGUUAAUCGGAAUUACUGGGCGUAAAGCGCAUGCAGGCGGCCUGUUAAGUCAGAUGUGAAAGCCCGGGGCUUAACCUCGGAAUUGCAUUUGAAACUGGUAGGCUAGAGUCUUGUAGAGGGGGUAGGAAUUUCGAUGGUGUGAG
rnacentral:rRNA from 1 species